UACAGAGGUGGCAAGCGUUGUUCGGAAUUACUGGGCGUAAAGGGCGCGUAGGCGGUCUUCUAAGUCUUGUGUGAAAUCCCUCGGCUCAACUGAGGAACUGCACGGGAUACUGGAAGACUUGAGUUCGGGAGAGGGAAGCGGAAUUCCGGGUGUAGCGGUGAAAUGCGUAGAUAUCCGGAGGAACACCGGUGGCGAAGGCGGCUUCCUGGACCGAUUACUGACGCUGAGGCGCGACAGCGUGGGGAGCGAACGGG
rnacentral:rRNA from 1 species